rnacentral:rRNA from 1 species
GAACGCUAGCUACAGGCUUAACACAUGCAAGUCGAGGGGCAGCAUUUCAGUUUGCUUGCAAACUGGAGAUGGCGACCGGCGCACGGGUGAGUAACACGUAUCCAACCUGCCGAUAACUCGGGGAUAGCCUUUCGAAAGAAAGAUUAAUACCCGAUGGUAUAAUCAGACCGCAUGGUCUUAUUAUUAAAGAAUUUCGGUUAUCGAUGGGGAUGCGUUCCAUUAGGCAGUUGGUGAGGUAACGGCUCACCAAACCUUCGAUGGAUAGGGGUUCUGAGAGGAAGGUCCCCCACAUUGGAACUGAGACACGGUCCAAACUCCUACGGGAGGCAGCAGUGAGGAAUAUUGGUCAAUGGGCGCAGGCCUGAACCAGCCAAGUAGCGUGAAGGAUGACUGCCCUAUGGGUUGUAAACUUCUUUUAUAUGGGAAUAAAGUUUUCCACGUGUGGAAUUUUGUAUGUACCAUAUGAAUAAGGAUCGGCUAACUCCGUGCCAGCAGCCGCGGUAAUACGGAGGAUCCGAGCGUUAUCCGGAUUUAUUGGGUUUAAAGGGAGCGUAGGUGGACAGUUAAGUCAGUUGUGAAAGUUUGCGGCUCAACCGUAAAAUUGCAGUUGAUACUGGCUGUCUUGAGUACAGUAGAGGUGGGCGGAAUUCGUGGUGUAGCGGUGAAAUGCUUAGAUAUCACGAAGAACUCCGAUUGCGAAGGCAGCUCACUGGACUGCAACUGACACUGAUGCUCGAAAGUGUGGGUAUCAAACAGGAUUAGACACCCUGGUAGUCCACACAGUAAACGAUGAAUACUCGCUGUUUGCGAUAUACAGUAAGCGGCCAAGCGAAAGCAUUAAGUAUUCCACCUGGGGAGUACGCCGGCAACGGUGAAACUCAAAGGAAUUGACGGGGGCCCGCACAAGCGGAGGAACAUGUGGUUUAAUUCGAUGAUACGCGAGGAACCUUACCCGGGCUUAAAUUGCAUUUGAAUAAUCUGGAAACAGGUUAGCCGCAAGGCAAAUGUGAAGGUGCUGCAUGGUUGUCGUCAGCUCGUGCCGUGAGGUGUCGGCUUAAGUGCCAUAACGAGCGCAACCCUUAUCUUUAGUUACUAACAGGUCAUGCUGAGGACUCUAGAGAGACUGCCGUCGUAAGAUGUGAGGAAGGUGGGGAUGACGUCAAAUCAGCACGGCCCUUACGUCCGGGGCUACACACGUGUUACAAUGGGGGGUACAGAAGGCAGCUACCUGGUGACAGGAUGCUAAUCCCAAAAGCCUCUCUCAGUUCGGAUCGAAGUCUGCAACCCGACUUCGUGAAGCUGGAUUCGCUAGUAAUCGCGCAUCAGCCAUGGCGCGGUGAAUACGUUCCCGGGCCUUGUACACACCGCCCGUCAAGCCAUGAAAGCCGGGGGUACCUGAAGUACGUAACCGCAAGGAGCGUCCUAGGGUAAAACUGGUAAAGG